CCCUUAGAUGUUCUGGGCCACACGCGCGUUACACUGAUGAAGCCAGCGAGUAUAUCGCCUUCACCGGAAGGUGCGGGUAAUCUUGUGAAACUUCAUCGUGCUGGGGAUAGACCAUUGCAAUUAUUGGUCUUGGACGAGGAAUUCCUAGUAAGCAUGAGUCAUCAACUCGUGCUGAUUACGUCCCUGCCCUUUGUACACACCGCCCGUCGCUACUACCGAUUGAAUGGUUUAGUGAGAUCUCGGGAUUGGAGACGUUGCGCCGCAAGGCACAUCGUCCUCGAGAACUUGAUCAAACUUGAUCAUUUAGAGGAAGUAAAAGUCGUAACA
rnacentral:rRNA from 1 species